CCUCCCAAAUGAAAAGGCAAAACCUCCAAGGGUUAGGUUACCCCUAACAGGUCCCCCAUUCUUUCCAUCUGGAAAAUGGAUGCAUAGCAGCAAUCUUGCCAACCUAGACACAAAGUCACACUAAGAAUUUAAAGCAGGAAGAUAGACACUAGCUGCUAGCAAUUGGAUUUCUUGUUACUGAAGAAAAAUAGCCCAAAAGGCAAGAAAAGAAAUGACGGGAAGGAAGAAAUAAGAGAAAGUAAUUUGCUGAAGUGAAGAAAGACUUGAACUUUCAAAUUAAAAAGGGCCUAUAAGCAUCCGAAAGAAGAAAAAUGGUAUAAUGAACCCUCAACAGCUAGCCUCAACAAUGAUCAACUCAUCACCAAACUUGUUUCAUCAAGAAGUUCACCUACUAUCAGCCACCUCUGGAUUAAGUCACAUCAAAUCAUUUCAUUAAUAUUUGGUGAAAUGACUGCAGCCUAGAGCCAAACAACC